UCUGAUGAUUCAAAGGAGGUAUUGCCAACUUCUAUACUAUCCACCUCGGAAGUGCUGCUCUCCAUUCCUUCCAUCUGAUUCUCGCCGCACGGGAUUGGUCAACUGCAGGAUGCUUGCCGGCACUGAGUGGGAGGGGGCGGCGAUACGGACAAACGGCGCACACGCGCUCAGAGUGGGAAACGGGGAAACGGGAGGAAAGGAGACGCGCGCAACAUAUUGAGCGACCGCGGGACACGGAGAACGCGGAAUUUCGUCUGGCGGAACCAUCUUUUGGGAAUCUGUCCCACACGUCGGACCUUCUUUGAGACAACGCUUAGCAAUAACUGAGCGAGACAAUUAACCUGGGUUGGAACAGACUUGUUCACUCACCCAAGUUUCCUUGGUAGCUCAGCGGGGAUUUGUUUGAGACGCGCUGUUGGAACGGAACUCCCAUUUAAAUGAGUAGAACUUGUCGAAAUAAGUCAGACUUUCCCUUAACCCUGCUUCGAGGAACACCCCCAAUGUAGAACAUGUCCAGAUUACCAUGUUUGUAUGGUUGGUGCACCGUACUUUCCGGUCGACACAAGAGUUAAGUAUUGCAUAAUUCUCCUGGUUGUGGUUGUCCUAGUCAGUACUAGUAUUCUAGUAGAUUCUUAGUCAGUCUGUACAACGUCAAUAAAUUCAGUGAACCUGCCACUUCAUAUUCAUGACAUUAAAGGUUUAUUCGAUCUUCAAUAUAAUUUUUAUUAAAUGUCAUGCUUUAAAAGAUGGUGCAUUGCUAUCAAUGUGUUAUUCUCCAAGAGAACAGGAAACAGUCAGUGUAAGUUUAUUAAUACAGCACAAUUCAGAUGCAAAGCAAUUCAAAGUGCUUUACAGAGGCAUAGGUAUACAUUAAAUAGAAGAGAUUACCAACCUAACAUGGUAGUUAGAAAUCUUGGCGUUCUUGUCGAUUCAGAUCUAUGCUUUGAUGCUCACAUAAGAAGUAUUACUAGAACUGCAUUUUAUCAUCUACGGAACAUAGCCAAGCUUCGUAAGAUGCUCUCACUUAAUGAUGCAGAAAAACUAAUACAUGCCUUCGUAAGUUCCAGACUGGAUUACUGUAAUGCCCUCCUAUCGGGUUGCCCGUCUGGAUCCUUGCAUAAACUUCAGAUGGUACAGAAUGCUGCAGCCAGAGUUCUAACAAACACUAAAAAAUUUGAUCAUAUUACACCGGUCUUAUCCUCUCUUCAUUGGCUGCCAGUUAAGUCUCGAAUUGACUAUAAAAUACUGCUAUUAACUUAUAAAGCACUAAAUGGCCUUGCACCAGAAUACCUUAGUGAACUGCUGACCACAUACAACCCUCCACGCUUGCUUCGCUCUCAAGCCAUGGGAUAUCUGUUAGUGCCUAGGGUAGAAAGAGCUACGGCAGGCUGCAGAGCUUUCUCCUACAAAGCUCCUCUGCUGUGGAAUGGUCUUCCACCGGAUGUGCGGGUUUCAGGUUCACUCUCAAUAUUCAAGUCCAGACUAAAAACACACCUGUUUAGUUUAGCGUAUAGGGACACUAGUUCUAGCCCUAGCUAACUCUUCACUCCCAGGCAGACCUGUAGUGUGAGGUGUAGAGCUGGGUGGGGAUCGGUGCCAUUGGCUUUGGAUGAACUGGAUUGUCAGUGCUGUCACUCUAGCUUUGCAAUCUCUUGUGGAACUGGAGUGCUGACAUUUCAGGGACUCCCCAUGCCGGCAUUCCCACUUGCCUCUCCCUCCUACUGAUGCUGCCAUAGCCAUAUCUGCCGGAGCUUGCAGAUUGCACUUCAUAUUGUACUCACCUAGCUUUUAGCACUGCCAAUAGCCUCCUCUACUAUGCCUAAUUGUACAUUUUAUUUCCCCUACUCCUCCUGGGGGUGAUGCCUGGAGACCUCAAUCUAUCAAGAUAUCCAGCACACCCGACCACCACCAGUGACGUCCCUGCAUCCAGCUCGCCGUUCUGAUCUUCCAUGUAUGACCCGCUGCCUUACCUCUGGUUGCCUGGCAAUUGGAAGAAGACUCGGCUUCGGCAUUGGCUUAUCUUCCUUGCUCUCCUCUCUCUAUUUGACUAUCCCUGCCGGCCCCUGGAGGAUGGGCUUCCCCUUUGAGUCUGGUCCCUCUCAAGGUUUCUUCCUUCUAGGGAGUUUUUCCUUGCCACUGUCGCCUAUGGCUUACUCACUGGGGGCUUUGGGUGAGGAUACUGUAAAGCGCUUUGAGACAAUGUAAUGUUGUGAUAAUGCGCUAUAUAAAAAUAAAUUUGUUGUUGUUGUUAUUAAAAUCUCACUUAAAAGAUAAAACAAAAAACCCAAGAGCCCAGACAAACGUAGCUAACCAGAAAGAACGGUAACAGUUUUAGCAGAGCUCAGGUCUUCAGGAAGCUUGUUCCGCAGCAGAGAGCAUAAAAUCUGAACGCUUCACCUUGGUUGGUCUUGAUUGUGGGAACACUAAGUAAACCUUUCCUAGAUAAGCUCAGGGGUCUGGAUGCUUCAUAAUGUUCAAGUAAAUCAGAAAUGUAUUUCGGCUCGAGACCAUGUAGUGCUGUGUACACUAGUAAUAAUAUAUUUAAUUCAAUCCUGUAAUGCACAGGAAGCCAGUGCAGUUGUUUAAGGACCGGUGUGAUAUGCUCUUUCUUGGUGUUAGUGAGGACUCUGGCAGCAGCAGAGUGGAUGACCUGCAGAUGUGUGACUGAUAUUUUGCAAAUAAUUGUGAACAUACUGUUACAAUAGUCUAGCCUGCUAAAGAUAAACACAGAAUCAAGAUGUUCUGUAUUUGUUUAGACAUAAAUCCUUUAAUUCUUGCUACAUGUUUAAGCUGGCAAUAUUCUGGUUUUGUAAAUGUCUUUAUGUGGCUGUUGGGAUUCAGGUCUCAGUCCAGAACUACACCAUGAUUUCUGGCUUGAUUUGUAGGUUUUAUUGUCAUGGAUUCAAACUGAGCACUAAGUACUAAUUUCCCUGUUUGGAGUCAAAUACAAAGAUUUUUCUGUA